AACGCAAAUUGCGCCCGAGGCUUCGGCCAAGGGCAUGUCUGCCUGAGCGUCAGCGCGUACCCUCACUUGCGCAAGCAAGCGGACCUGGCCGUGUCGCUUCUCCCCGGAGGAGCGACUCGGCUGAAGCACAGCGCUGUCCGAGGCCCAAGACGUCCCUCCAGCAUUGCUGGACGCUUCUUGCGGCGCUCGGCGUGGUAGACCGCCUCACAGCGGAUUCAGGAUCGUCGAGCCCGGGGCGGGACUCGCGACAGCGCCACACCGACGGGCGCAGAGUUAACAGCUCUGUUUGCCCGCCAACACCCAUGCAUUUUGACCUCAGAUCAGGCAAGGCUACCCGACGAAUUUAA
rnacentral:misc_RNA from 1 species